rnacentral:rRNA from 16 species
GGGAGGCUUUGAAGCACAGUCGCUAGAUUGUGUGGAGCCGCCGUUGAAAUACCACCCUUGUAUGUUUGAUGUUCUAACAUUGGUCCCUAAUCGGGAUUGUGGACAGUGUCUGGUGGGUAGUUUGACUGGGGCGGUCUCCUCCCAAAGAGUAACGGAGGAGCACGAAGGUUAGCUAAUCACGGUCGGACAUCGUGAGGUUAGUGCAAUGGCAUAAGCUAGCUUAACUGCGAGACAGACACGUCGAGCAGGUACGAAAGUAGGUCAUAGUGAUCCGGUGGUUCUGUAUGGAAGGGCCAUCGCUCAACGGAUAAAAGGUACUCCGGGGAUAACAGGCUGAUACCGCCCAAGAGUUCAUAUCGACGGCGGUGUUUGGCACCUCGAUGUCGGCUCAUCACAUCCUGGGGCUGAAGUCGGUCCCAAGGGUAUGGCUGUUCGCCAUUUAAAGUGGUACGCGAGCUGGGUUUAGAACGUCGUGAGACAGUUCGGUCCCUAUCUGCCGUGGGUGUAGGAUACUUGAGAGGAGUUGCCCCUAGUACGAGAGGACCGGGGUGAACGAUCCACUGGUGUACCAGUUGUUCCGCCAGGAGCAGUGCUGGGUAGCUAUGAUCGGAAAGGAUAACCGCUGAAGGCAUCUAAGCGGGAAGCCCCCCUCAAAACAAGGUAUCCCUGAGAACCGAGGUAGACCACCUCGUCGAUAGGCCAGAGAUCUAAGCGUGGUAACAC